rnacentral:lncRNA from 1 species
GAAAGCUAGCUUUGGAGCCAGCCCUGGCUGGAAAUAGGAAGUGAAAUGAAACUCUCUCCCUUCGCAGCUUUUGGCUAAAACCUUGGUAUUUCUUGCUGAGUCCACCUGCCUGAUGCCAUCGCUGAAAGACAAGCAAGAACACAUGGAGAAUGUGACUUUCAGGGAAUGAAUGGAGCUCGCCCCUCGUUUACUUCUCUGGAAGCUCUGCGAGAGGAGGGCGGUGGCAGUCAUGGUCAUUCCCGUAUUUGAUUGCUGUCUGUUUACCCAGAAGACUGCAGGCUCCAUGAAGGGAGAGACCCCUGGGUGAAUCCAGUGCCUGGACAGCGCCCUGCUCAGCACCGUGAACAACAAGCGUGCCCUGAUGAGCAGCCACAGGGCGCGGAGGCGUGCCGUGAUCGGGACACGCUCAUCCCAGGAAACUCCAAACAGCUCCUCAGAGCUAUCAUAAAGGAAGUUAAG